AUGAAAAGGAAAUUUUCAAGUGUUAAAAAGGAAAUGCCCUCCAUGCUUCAUCUCUUUUAUUCCUUUUACAUUAAGCAUGUUGUGAUAAGAAGACAACCCCGGGAAGUGAAAACUCAAGGAGAACAGAACCAGAGAAUCAAAGAAAAAAAUCAGAAAAUUACAGAGUCUGAGAGGAGGCAGAGAACCAGAACACAUCAACAAGAGUAUGCCAGUGACCCUUGGAAAACUGUUCUGUCUUUGUGCUGCAAAUGGAAGAAUGACACCAGUCGGCUAUCUGUCAGCAAGCCACAGAAUGAAGCUUCAAAGCUUGGAAGUACUUAAGCUAAAAUUACAUGGGGAUGAUAUACAGUUAGAAAUAAUAAAUAAUGUUGUAAUAAACA
rnacentral:lncRNA from 1 species